GGGCCCGCACAAGCGGUGGAGCAUGUGGUUUAAUUCGAUGAUACGCGAGGAACCUUACCAGGGCUUAAAUGUAGUCUGACAGCUUUAGAGAUAGAGUUUUCUUCGGACAGAUUACAAGGUGCUGCAUGGUUGUCGUCAGCUCGUGCCGUGAGGUGUCAGGUUAAGUCCUAUAACGAGCGCAACCCCUGUCGUUAGUUGCCAGCACGUAAUGGUGGGAACUCAUGGGAUACUGCCGGGGUCAACUCGGAGGAAGGUGGGGAUGACGUCAAAUCAUCAUGCCCCUUAUGUCUUGGGCUUCACGCAUGCUACAAUGGCCGGUACAAAGGGCAGCGAAACCGCGAGGUCAAGCGAA
rnacentral:rRNA from 1 species